UUCGCAAUGCCCGAAAGGGUGAACGAGCGACGCCGCGUGCGGGAUGAAGGGUUUCGGCUUGUAAACCGCUUUUCUUUGGGAAGAAGGUCUGUCUCGUGCAGAUGGGCUCGACGGUACCAGAGGAAUAAGCCUCGGCUAACUCCGUGCCAGCAGCCGCGGUAAUACGUAUGGUGCGAACGUUGUUCGGAAUCACUGGGCAUAAAGAGCACGUAGGCGGUUGAGCAAGUCCAUUGUGAAAUCCCCCGGCUUAACCGGGGAACUGCAGUGGAUACUACUUGACUUGAGUGCAGGAGGGGAGAGUGGAAUUCCAGGUGGAGCGGUGAAAUGCGUAGAUAUCUGGAAGAACACCGGUAGCGAAGGCGGUGGUCUGGGCCGAAACUGACGCUGAGGCGCGAAAGCCAGGGGAGCAAACGGGAUUAGAUACCCCGGUAGUCCUGGCCGUAAACGUUGGGCACUAAGUAGAGGGGUUUU
rnacentral:rRNA from 1 species